UGACAAGUAUGUAAGAUAACAAAAGGUGGCA
rnacentral:piRNA from 1 species